rnacentral:RNase_MRP_RNA from 14 species
CCACACAUCUGGCGCCGUGGGGAAAGUCUCCGGGCCGUC